GAUGAACGCUGGCGGCGUGCCUAAUACAUGCAAGUCGAGCGAACAUAUCAGGAUUUUUCGCGUCCGACGUAAGCGGCGGACGGGAGAGUAACACGUGGAUAACCUAACUAUAAGACUGUGGUAACUUUGCGAAACCGGAGCUAAUAGCGGAUAAUAUAUUGAACCUAAUGGUUCCAGAGUCAAAUACGGUUUUUGUGUCAGGUAUUGGUUGAUCCGCGCCGCAUUAACUAGUUGGUAAGGUAACGGCUUACCAAGGCUUCGAUGCGUAGCCGACCUGAGAGGGUGAUUCGGUAGCCUGGAAGUGAGAAACGGUCGAGACAUCUACGGGAGGAAGCAGUAGAGAAUCUUACGCGAGGGACGAGAGGCUAACCGAGCAACGCCGGCUAAGUGAUGAAGGUCUCCGGAUGGGAAAACGCUGUUAUUAGGGAGAAACAAAUGUGUAAGUAACUAGGACGGUAUUGACGGUACCUGAACAGGAAGCCACGGCUAACUACGUG
rnacentral:rRNA from 1 species